CGCCCGUUGACGUAUACAUUAUGACUGACGCGACUAAGGUGUUUGUGUAGCUCAACAGAAAAUGAGAGAACGGGAUUGGAGAAAGAGAGUAAACUAUGUCAAACAAACUGAAGUUUCGGCAGCGUAGAAACGUUUCAAAGCGAAGCUCUCUGUGUCACAGUUGACCCUUACCAGCGUGGAUAAAUAAAACUGCUCGAAAUUGUCAACAACAUUUGUUUUGUUGAAAUAUUUCACUGACAGUCAGCUGAGAUCAAACUGGAAACAAACAUUGAAACCCGCUUGUGUAUGGAGUGGAUCGUUGAACUCGGACGUCUAGGAAAAAGGUACGUUUAUGUUUUUGUGCAAAAUAAAAGAAAUCCUCUACUUUUAGCGCUUAUUUUAACUGUCAUACACGCUGAUAACAAAGAACCUACAUAGAAGAGGUCAGGGACGGCAAUGACUUCGAAAGAUGACGAGCGAUGCUGAGCUGGUUGCUAGAGGAAUUUGGUAGACACAAAUAUGGACUUUAUCUUAUCGCACUUAGGGCCGCUACUGGGGAAAACAACAACCAAACAUUGCAGACGGCAGUCAACGAUUGCAGCAUUAUCAGCCAGAUUAUAUGAAUUUAAAUUUGCUGCAAGUCAUCGUUAGCUAAAGGGUUUACGUUGAUCAAGCUAUGCAUUUUCGUUAGGCAAUGUGUUCAAAACUCUAGCAGUAAGACCGAUCUGCAUAAAAUAAUUCGUUACUUCGAGAUCGUAUUACCUUUAUUUGAAAGCAACAAAGUACAUUGGGACUAUUACUAUGUACAAUGUAACAAAAAUAGGCGCUACAAAAAAAGCAAUUGGAAUUGGAUGAAUGUGCAUUUUUUAACAGAUUAAAAAAAUCUAUUUUCGCUCAAUCAAACCUUUGCGUGGUAUUUUACUUCCUACUAGUAAUAGUAGUGUUAAUACUAUGAGUGAUGGUCGGAAGAGUAUGGAACGACUUUACUAUGCGUUAAGAUAACUCGCUUUCCAGAUAGUCUUAUUUGUGAGAAGGCCAAUAGAGUAAAUUUCAGUUCAAUCAAGCCUUAUAACCUAUUCAGAUUACGCCAUUUAUUAAUAACGAUAAUAUCGUGUUGAAGUGGAGAUAGAAACUUGAAUGUAUGGAGAUUGGUAUCAAGUUAUUCUUUAUCAUUAUAUUUAUUAUCAUAAAUGGCGUAAUCUGAAUAGGUUACGAAGCCGACAACAUGAUUAUCUAAGCAACGGAGCGCUUAUCAAUCAAAAAUAAAGUGAACGAGAAUUUGGUGGAUCUGCCCAAAACAUUUUUAAUCCCUGUAAAUUUCAUAUUCAUCAUAUGUUUUUCUACUCCCAUUUCAAAAACCCAAGUCAGACUUAAUAAUUUUCGCACAGUGUUGAGAUUUAAGUCAAUUAUUCAACAUUAGUAAGCAAAUGAUUUACAAAUUGUUUCUUCCUGAUGCGUGUUACGUGCUCUUCAAAAUUUUCAUGCUUUUCAAUAUUACCGAUGUCUAUGUUGAAUAAUCAUCAUUAUUAUUGAGACUUUAAGCGCGAGACUAGCUCGUUUCUGUUAGGAAAAUUAUUUUGAGUUUUAAGUGGAAUGUCUUUACUUGUCACACGGUGUAAAAAAAUGGAUUAUUAUCGAAGUUUCAUGCACCUCUGAUUUUUUUUCACAGAAAGUUAGGCAAAGCCACUAGAAAUGAAGUAUGGGAUGUUUAAAAAUAUUUCAUCGGCGAUUUUUUGAAAAAAGUGAUUUUUAUUGUUUUCUUCCUUAAUAUACCGUCUAAAAA